rnacentral:rRNA from 1 species
GACGAACGCUGGCGGCGUGCUUAACACAUGCAAGUCGUACGGUAAGGCCCUUUCGGGGGUACACGAGUGGCGAACGGGUGAGUAACACGUGAGUAACCUGCCCACAACUUUGGGAUAACGCUAGGAAACUGGUGCCAAUACUGGAUAUGUGCUCCUGCUGCAUGGUGGGGGUUGGAAAGCUCCGGCGGUUGUGGAUGGACUCGCGGCCUAUCAGCUUGUUGGUGGGGUAGUGGCCUACCAAGGCGGCGACGGGUAGCCGGCCUGAGAGGGUGACCGGCCACCUUGGCUCUGAGGUGCGGCCCCGGCUCCGACUGGUGGCAGCAGUGGGGAAGAUUGCUCCAUGCGCGCCGGCCGGAUGCAGCAGCGCCGCGUGCGGUAUGACUGCCUUCGGGUUGUAAACCGCUUUCAGCAUGGACGAAGCUUUUUGUGACGGUACCUGCAGAAGAAGCACCGGCUAACUACGUG